GCGGGAAUCCGUCCGUCCGUCCGUGUGUGCGCGCGCGCGCGCGUCUGAGCAGGAAUGCGGGCAGCGGCGGGGAACAGGUGGACCACAUGAGCGCCUGAAAGCGGACAAACAGACUUGCCCGCCAAAUUUCAGGUUGCUCAGUCACAGCGGCCCUCUGGAGCUGAAUUUCCAAGUCAAACACACACAAAAGAGUCGACUUUGAACACGACUUGAUCACAGAACGAACAUGUCGUCGUGUGUGCCCAAGAACAAGUUCGUCUUCCAACAUGAUUUUUU